CUGCUUCAAAAGGCAUGACAACAUCCUGAGGGGAUACAGUGUGUCUAAAGUAGUAAGAACGUGCCACGACACUGCAGUUGCACUCCUCCUCCGUUACUCUACGGGGGAUGUUGUACAGCUCGCGCUCCCACAAAGCUUUGCAGGAGACCAUACAAUGAAAUUUGGUGCGUUUUUUUACGUUUCGGCGCCAUUUUCGAUUGGACCCGAGCAACACCAGCGAAAGAGACCUGCAGAUGUGAAGGGAAUGUACUAUAGCAGCACAUAAAUACUGGAGGUGAAUGUGGUGUUAUCCAGUAUUGCUGUUCUGCUGUAGUAAGACCUGUCAGCACUUACAGACUCCAAAGAGCCACACCAGAUCCUUGGCCGAGAGCUGACUGUAGCCAUGCCUGUAUGUGAUGGAAAAACACUACCUGUCUGUACUGCAGAUAAACAAUGCUGUCAAAUAAAAUCAGCAGUGAGCUAAAUGAUUUUAUUUCAU